GGGCUCUUAGCGCAGCGGUUAGCGCAGUCGGCUCAUAACCGAUAGGUCGAAGGUUCGAAUCCUUCAGAGCCCA
rnacentral:tRNA from 1 species